rnacentral:rRNA from 1 species
GAUGAACGCUAGCGGCAGGCCUAACACAUGCAAGUCGAGGGGUAGAGGAAGCUUGCUUCCUUGAGACCGGCGCACGGGUGCGUAACGCGUAUGCAAUCUACCUUGUACAGAGGGAUAGCCCAGAGAAAUUUGGAUUAAUACCUCAUAGUAUUAUUGAAUGGCAUCAUUUAAUAAUUAAAGUUCCAACGGUGCAAGAUGAGCAUGCGUCCUAUUAGCUAGUUGGUGUGGUAACGGCAUACCAAGGCUACGAUAGGUAGGGGUCCUGAGAGGGAGAUCCCCCACACUGGUACUGAGACACGGACCAGACUCCUACGGGAGGCAGCAGUGAGGAAUAUUGGACAAUGGGCGCAAGCCUGAUCCAGCCAUGCCGCGUGCAGGAAGACGCAUCUAUGGUGUGUAAACUGCUUUUGUACGAGAAGAAACACUCCCUCGUGAGGGAGCUUGACGGUACCGUAAGAAUAAGGAUCGGCUAACUCCGUGCCAGCAGCCGCCGUAAGAC